GGAGGGGUGGCAGAGCGGUUGAAUGCAACGGUCUUGAAAACCGUCGUAGGUGAAAGCCUACCGUGGGUUCGAAUCCCACCCCCUCCGCCA
rnacentral:tRNA from 2 species